rnacentral:rRNA from 1 species
GAUGAACGCUAGCGGCAGGCCUAAUACAUGCAAGUCGGACGGGAUUUGGGAGCUUGCUCCUAAUGAGAGUGGCGCACGGGUGCGUAACACGUAUGUAACCUACCUUAAUCAGGGGGAUAGCCUCUCGACAGAGAGAUUAACACCGCAUAACAUAUUUUUAUGGCAUCGUAGAAAUAUCAAAUAUUUAUAGGAUUAAGAUGGGCAUGCGGAACAUUAGCUAGUUGGUAAGGUAACGGCUUACCAAGACUACGAUGUUUAGGGGGUCUGAGAGGAUGACCCCCCACACUGGUACUGAGACACGGACCAGACUCCUACGGGAGGCAGCAGCAAGGAAUAUUGGUCAAUGGACGCAAGCCUGAACCAGCCAUGCCGCGUGCAGGAAGACGGCCCUAUGAGUUGUAAACUGCUUUUGUACCGGAAUAAACCCUUUUACGUGUAGAAGGCUGAAUGUACGGUAAGAAUAAGGAUCGGCUAACUCCGUGCCAGCAGCCACCGUAA